rnacentral:rRNA from 1 species
AUUGAACGCUGGCGGCAUGCUUUACACAUGCAAGUCGAACGGUAACAGGGUGCUUGCACCGCUGACGAGUGGCGAACGGGUGAGUAAUGCGUCGGAACGUGCCGAGUAGUGGGGGAUAACGCAGCGAAAGUUGUGCUAAUACCGCAUACGUACUGAGGUAGAAAGUGGGGGACCUUCGGGCCUCACGCUAUUCGAGCGGCCGACGUCCGAUUAGCUAGUAGGUGAGGUAAGAGCUCACCUAGGCGACGAUCAGUAGCGGGUCUGAGAGGAUGAUCCGCCACACUGGGACUGAGACACGGCCCAGACUCCUACGGGAGGCAGCAGUGGGGAAUUUUGGACAAUGGGCGCAAGCCUGAUUCAGCCAUGCCGCGUGUCUGAAGAAGGCCUUCGGGUUGUAAAGGACUUUUGUCAGGGAGGAAAUCCUAGUGGCUAAUAACUGCUGGGGAUGACAGUACCUGAAGAAUAAGCACCGGCUAACUACGUGCCAGCCGCCGCCGUAA